rnacentral:rRNA from 1 species
AGUUCCUUAAAUGACUCGACGGGCGACUUCCGGGAAACCAAAGUUUUUAGGUUCCAGGGGAAGUAUGUUUGCAAAGAUAAAACUUAAAGAAAUUGACGGAGGGGCACCACCAGGAGUGGAGCCUGCGGCUUAAUUUGACUCAACACGGGAAAACUCACCCGGCCCGGACACUGGAAGGAUUGACAGAUUGAGAGCUCUUUCUUGAUUCAGUGGGUGGUGGUGCAUGGCCGUUCUUAGUUGGUGGAGCGAUUUGUCUGGUUAAUUCCGAUAACGAACGAGACUCUAGCCUACUAAAUAGAUCGUCGGCUUACAAACGCUGAUGAGACUUCUUAGAGGGACAGGCGGCGAUUCAGCCGCACGAAACAGAGCAAUAACAGGUCUGUGAUGCCCUUAGAUGUCCGGGGCCGCACGCGCGCUACACUGAAGUGAUCAGCGUGCACUUUCAGCCUACUCUGCCAAGAGUGGGAAACCCAAUGAACCUUCUUCGUGAUUGGGAUAGGAGAUUGUAAUUAUUCUCCUUGAACGAGGAAUUCCCAGUAAGCGCGAGUCAUAAGCUCGCGUUGAUUACGUCCCUGCCCUUUGUACACACCGCCCGUCGCUACU